GAACGGUGUAGUGUAGCGGCAGCACUCCGGUUGGCCUCGGCCUUUCCCUUUCCGCUCCUUGUCCGAUAGCGGGCCGAUGGCAAAGGGUUAUCUCCAAGCCGGUAGUGCGGGUUCGAGUCCCGCCGCCGUUCA
rnacentral:tRNA from 1 species